AUAUCUUUCAUCUCAAAGCAAGACUUGGCAGUCACUGGAAAAUAAAUAAAGGAAACAAGAUGGACAGACAUUUCUGAUAACAAAUCCUGUGAACAAGCAAGCAACGAUCUAAUGAUGGCUUUUAAGGCUAUAUUGUGUUGAGAUAUACAAAAACAAGGUUUAAGAAACAAAAUGCAAAACGCAACCUGCCUUGGUUUGAUAGCCAUCUAUGGGACAUAAUGAAAAAGAAAGAUACUGCUCUUAAAAAGUUUUUAAAGUCAGGAUUAAGCACUGAUCAUCUAAUUUUUAGAUUAGAAGUUCAUCUAAGUUUAAGAAACAGGGCUACACAGCAACUUAGAAAGGCCAGGGCAACUUUUUUUCUGAAUCUUAUCAGGGAUGCCAAAGGGAACAGUAAAAAAUUAUCGAAUAGCAUUGAUAAAUUACUUUAAGGAAAAACACACACAUGAGAGCAUUCCGCUCAUGGCUCUAUCCUAAAUGAUAGCCAUGCUAUUUUUAUUCAUUUUAAUGAUUAUUUUUUAAAUUCUGUGCAGCAACUUAGUCAGACAUUUCCGGCAAUAGACCCUCCGCAACCAUUUACUUGUGGAGGGCCUGUAUUUGACCUGAACACAAUAAAUGAGGCUAAAGUGGAUACAAUUUUAUCAAACUUGUCAAACAGCAAGGCCAAGGAUAUACACUGCCUGGACACAGCAUUUUUAAAGCUACAUAAAGAGUCUGUCUCUUCAUCACUUACGACAAUAAUAAACAAAUCUAUAAAUGAGGGCAUCUUUCCCAGUACUUUUAAAACAGCUAUAGUAACUCCAGUUCAUAAAUCUGGUGACAAUCAGGAGGUCAGUAACUACCGCCCCAUUAGUAUACUCCCAGCAGCCUCAAAGGUCUUGGAAA